UACGAAGGGGGCAAGCGUUGUUCGGAAUUACUGGGCGUAAAGCGCGUGUAGGCGGCUCUUCAAGUCAGGCGUGAAAGCCCUGAGCUCAACUCAGGAACUGCGUUUGAUACUGUCGAGCUAGAGUGUGGAAGGGGCAAUCGGAAUUCCGUGUGUAGCGGUGAAAUGCGUAGAUAUACGGAGGAACACCAGAGGCGAAGGCGGAUUGCUGGGCCAACACUGACGCUGAGACGCGAAAGCUAGGGUAGCAAACGGG
rnacentral:rRNA from 1 species